UGGCGCGUACAGAGGGCUGCAAGCUAGCGAUAGUGAGCGAAUCCCAAAAAGCGCGUCGUAGUCCGGAUUGGAGUCUGCAACUCGACUCCAUGAAGUCGGAAUCGCUAGUAAUCGCAAAUCAGAAUGUUGCGGUGAAUACGUUCCCGGGCCUUGUACACACCGCCCGUCACACCAUGGGAGUGGGUUGCACCAGAAGUAGAUAGCUUAACCUUCGGGAGGGCGUUUACCACGGUGUGAUUCAUGACUGGGGUGAAGUCGUAACAAGGUAACCCUAGGGGAACCUGGGGUUGGAUCACCUCCUUACCUUAA
rnacentral:rRNA from 1 species